rnacentral:misc_RNA from 1 species
GUAGGGCUUCGGCCCUGCUGAGAUAGAACCCUUGCCUUUUGUAUACCAUCCGUUUCCUCGGCAGGCUCGCCUGCCAAUGGGGACCAAAAUAAACCUUUGUAAUAACCUGUAAUUAGUCUGAUUAAAAAAUAAAAAUUAAAACUUUUAACAACGGAUCUCUUGGUUCU